rnacentral:rRNA from 1 species
GUUGGUGGAGUGAUUUGUCUGGUUAAUUCCGUUAACGAACGAGACCCCCGCCUGCUAAAUAGUGAUUAUAAUGCAUAGCAUUGUGAUUUUAAUCUUCUUAGAGGGACUUUUGGUGACUAACCAAAGGAAGUUGGGGGCAAUAACAGG